rnacentral:rRNA from 1 species
GAUGAACGCUGGCGGCGUGCCUAAUACAUGCAAGUCGAGCGAACGGACGAGAAGCUUGCUUCUCUGAUGUUAGCGGCGGACGGGUGAGUAACACGUGGAUAACCUACCUAUAAGACUGGGAUAACUUCGGGAAACCGGAGCUAAUACCGGAUAAUAUUUUGAACCGCAUGGUUCAAAAGUGAAAGACGGUCUUGCUGUCACUUAUAGAUGGAUCCGCGCUGCAUUAGCUAGUUGGUAAGGUAACGGCUUACCAAGGCAACGAUGCAUAGCCGACCUGAGAGGGUGAUUGGCCACACUGGAACUGAGACACGGUCCAGACUCCUACGGGAGGCAGCAGUAGGGAAUCUUCCGCAAUGGGCGAAAGCCUGACGGAGCAACGCCGCGUGAGUGAUGAAGGUCUUCGGAUCGUAAAACUCUGUUAUUAGGGAAGAACAUAUGUGUAAGUAACUGUGCACAUCUUGACGGUACCUAAUCAGAAAGCCACGGCUAACUACGUGCCAGCAGCCGCGGUAAUACGUAGGUGGCAAGCGUUAUCCGUAAUUAUUGGGCGUAAAGCGCGCGUAGGCGGUUUUUUAAGUCUGAUGUGAAAGCCCAUGGCUNCACCGUGGAGGGUCAUUGGAAACUGGAAAACUUGAGUGCAGAAGAGGAAAGUGGAAUUCCAUGUGUAGCGGUGAAAUGCGCAGAGAUAUGGAGGAACACCAGUGGCGAAGGCGACUUUCUGGUCUGUAACUGACGCUGAUGUGCGAAAGCGUGGGGAUCAAACAGGAUUAGAUACCCUGGUAGUCCACGCCGUAAACGAUGAGUGCUAAGUGUUAGGGGGUUUCCGCCCCUUAGUGCUGCAGCUAACGCAUUAAGCACUCCGCCUGGGGAGUACGACCGCAAGGUUGAAACUCAAAGGAAUUGACGGGGACCCGCACAAGCGGUGGAGCAUGUGGUUUAAUUCGAAGCAACGCGAAGAACCUUACCAAAUCUUGACAUCCUUUGACAACUCUAGAGAUAGAGCCUUCCCCUUCGGGGGGCAAAGUGACAGGUGGUGCAUGGUUGUCGUCAGCUCGUGUCGUGAGAUGUUGGGUUAAGUCCCGCAACGAGCGCAACCCUUAAGCUUAGUUGCCAUCAUUAAGUUGGGCACUCUAAGUUGACUGCCGGUGACAAACCGGAGGAAGGUGGGGAUGGCGUCAAAUCAUCAUGCCCCUUAUGAUUUGGGCUACACACGUGCUACAAUGGACAAUACAAAGGGCAGCGAAACCGCGAGGUCAAGCAAAUCCCAUAAAGUUGUUCUCAGUUCGGAUUGUAGUCUGCAACUCGACUACAUGAAGCUGGAAUCGCUAGUAAUCGUAGAUCAGCAUGCUACGGUGAAUACGUUCCCGGGUCU